rnacentral:rRNA from 1 species
CCCUUAGAUGUCCUGGGCCGCACGCGCGUUACACUGAUGCAUUCAACGAGCUUAUAACCUUGGCCGAGAGGCCUGGGCAAUCUUGUUAACGUGCAUCGUGAUAGGGAUAGAUUAUUGAAAUUAUUAAUCUUGAACGAGGAAUUCCUAGUAAACGCAGAUCAUCAAUCUGCGUUGAUUACGUCCCUGCCCUUUGUACACACCGCCCGUCGCACCUACCGAUUGGAUGGUCCGGUGAAGCCUCGGGAUUGUGGUUCUUGCCGCUUUAUUGUGGCGUGACCGCGAGAACUUGUCUAAACCUUAUCAUCUAGAGGAAGGUGAAGUCGUAACA